GACGAACGCUGGCGGCGUGCCUAAUACAUGCAAGUUGAGCGCUGAAGGUUGGUACUUGUCCCGACUGGAUGAGCAGCGAACGGGUGAGUAACGCGUGGGGAAUCUGCCUUUGAGCGGGGGACAACAUUUGGAAACGAAUGCUAAUACCGCAUAAAAACUUUAAACACAAGUUUUAAGUUUGAUAGAUGCAAUUGCAUCACUCAAAGAUGAUCCCGCGUUGUAUUAGCUAGUUGGUGAGGUAAAGGCUCACCAAGGCGAUGAUACAUAGCCAACCUGAGAGGGUGAUCGGCCACAUUGGGACUGAGACACGGCCCAAACUCCUACGGGAGGCAGCAGUAGGGAAUCUUCGGCAAUGGACGAAAGUCUGACCGAGCAACGCCGCGUGAGUGAAGAAGGUUUUCGGAUCGUAAAACUCUGUUGGUAGAGAAGAACGUUGGUGAGAGUGGAAAGCUCAUCAAGUGACGGUAACUACCCAGAAAGGGACGGCUAACUACGUG
rnacentral:rRNA from 1 species